AAGUCGUAACAAGGUAACCGUAGGUGAACCUGCGGUUGGAUCAUUACCAAAUCCAAACCUGGUGCUUUGGGGGAGAGCGGUGGGGGAGGGUGUGCGAGUGCGCUUCACGGCGUGCGCGUGCCCCGCCCCCCCGCCUCUCCUCCCUCAGUGCCUUCCACCCCCUGUGCAAUGUUAUACUGGGGACGCGGAUGCAAGUCCGCGCCCCCUUUCACAACCAUGUGUUCUCCAAUCACCUGACGUUACCACUCGUGGAGCCGGGCACUUGCGUGCCCUUCGCCAUUAGAGCUUAACGAAAAAACAACUUUUGACAACGGAUCUCUUGGCUCUC
rnacentral:misc_RNA from 1 species